AUAAGAGAGCAGGCUGAGCAAGUCAG
rnacentral:piRNA from 1 species